GUACACGCUGUGACUAGCAUAUCAAUAAGCGGAGGAAAAGAAACUAACAAGGAUUCCCCUAGUAACGGCGAGUGAAGCGGGAAGAGCUCAAAUUUGAAAUCUUAAAGGGUUUCCCUUUACGAAUUGUAGUUUAAAGAAGUGUUUUCUGUUGAGGUUUUGGUAAAAGUUCUUUGGAAUAGGACAUCAUAGAGGGUGAGAAUCCCGUAUUUGACCUUUACUUUCAACUUUGUGAUACACUUUCAAAGAGUCGGAUUGUUUGGGAAUGCAGUCCAAAAUGGGUGGUAAAUUUCAUCUAAAGCUAAAUAUUGGCGAGAGACCGAUAGCGAACAAGUACCGUGAGGGAAAGAUGAAAAGGAACUUUGAAAAGAGAGUUAAACAGUACGUGAAAUUGUCAAAAGGGAAGCGUUUGACACCAGUGUUGUUUUUCUGAAAAUCAAUUAAAGAACUGUUUAUGCUAAGUUGUUUAGACUUUAUCAGCUAUCUGUUUAGUUUUGAGCUUUUCUUUAAUGCACUUUUCAGUUAACAAGUCAACAUCAAUUUCUUUUGCUGUAAAGAAGCUUGAGGAAGGUGGCUCGAGAUUCGUCUUAAGUGUUUAUAGCCUCUUGCCUAUGCAGUCGGAGAGGAUUGAGGUCUGCAGCGUAGAUCCUUCGGGGCUAAAUGCAUUUGUGCUAAGUUAUAGCAUUUUAUAGACAACUUGUUGACUAUGAUUUGUCUUGUAGCUUACUCGCUUAUGUUAUUUUACCUACGCUUAGGAUGUUGAAGAUGUAGCACAUCAU
rnacentral:rRNA from 1 species